CUUACACAUGCAAGUCGAGGGGUAUAGUAGCAAUACUAGAGACCGGCGCACGGGUGCGUAACGCGUAUGCAAUCUACCUUUUACAGAGGGAUAGCCCAGAGAAAUUUGGAUUAAUACCUCAUAGUAUAGCGACCUGGCAUCAGGAUGUUAUUAAAGUCACAACGGUAAAAGAUGAGCAUGCGUCCCAUUAGCUAGUUGGUAAGGUAACGGCUUACCAAGGCGACGAUGGGUAGGGGUCCUGAGAGGGAGAUCCCCCACACUGGUACUGAGACACGGACCAGACUCCUACGGGAGGCAGCAGUGAGGAAUAUUGGACAAUGGGCGCAAGCCUGAUCCAGCCAUGCCGCGUGCAGGAUGACGGUCCUAUGGAUUGUAAACUGCUUUUGUACAGGAAGAAACCCUUUCACGUGUGAAAGAUUGACGGUACUGUAAGAAUAAGGAUCGGCUAACUCCGUGCCAGCAGCCGCGGUAAUACGGAGGAUCCAAGCGUUAUCCGGAAUCAUUGGGUUUAAAGGGUCCGUAGGCGGCCAGAUAAGUCAGUGGUGAAAGCCCAUCGCUCAACGGUGGAACGGCCAUUGAUACUGUCUGGCUUGAAUUACAAGGAAGUAACUAGAAUAUGUAGUGUAGCGGUGAAAUGCUUAGAGAUUACAUGGAAUACCAAUUGCGAAGGCAGGUUACUACUUGUGGAUUGACGCUGAUGGACGAAAGCGUGGGUAGCGAACAGGAUUAGAUACCCUGGUAGUCCACGCCGUAAACGAUGGAUACUAGCUGUUGGGAGCAAUCUCAGUGGCUAAGCGAAAGUGAUAAGUAUCCCACCUGGGGAGUACGGGCGCAAGCCUGAAACUCAAAGGAAUUGACGGGGGCCCGCACAAGCGGUGGAGCAUGUGGUUUGAUUCGAUGAUACGCGAGGAACCUUACCAGGC
rnacentral:rRNA from 1 species